rnacentral:lncRNA from 1 species
CCAAUGGCGUGAAACAAGGCUGUAUCCUUGCUCUGGUACUAUUCAACCUAUUUUUCACCCAAGUAUUACGACAUGCUGUGAUGGAUCUAGACCUGGGUGUCUACAUCAAAUACUGACUGGAUGACUCACUAUUCUACCUUCGCUGCCUGACUGCAAAAACAAAGACAACAGAGAGACUCAUCCUGGAAGCUCUCUUUGCAGAUGACUGUGCUCUCAUGGCCCACCAAGAAAAUCAUCUCCAAACCAUUGUGGACAGGUUCUCCACCGCAACAAAACUGUUUGGCCUGACUAUCAGCCUCAGCAAAACAGAGGUGCUGUUCCAACCUGCACCAGGGAAUACAGCUAACCAGCCAUGCAUUACAAUCGAAGGCACGCAGCUUUCUAACGUCAACACUUUCAAGUACCUGGGCAGCACCAUCGCCAACGACGGGUCCCUAGACCAUGAGAUCAAUGCCAGGAUCCAAAAGGCCAGCCAGGCACUUGGGCUGAUGCGCUGCAAAGUCCUCCAACACAGAGGUGUGAGCACUGCGACGAAGCUCAAAGUGUAUAACGCAGUGGUCCUCAGCUCGCUCCUGUACGGUUGUGAGACAUGGACACUGUACCGGAAGCACAUGAAACAGCUGGAGCAAUUCCACCAACACUCCCUCUGGUCAAUCAUGAGGAUCCGAUGGCAGGACCGAAUCACCAACCAGGAAGUCCUCGGCAGAGCCAACUCCACCAGCAUCGAAGUCCUGGUCCUCCAAACCCAGCUACGAUGGUCUGGACACGUCAUCCGCAUGGACCCACAGCGAAUACCAAAACAGGUAUUCUAUGGUGAACUGUCAGCUGGACUCAGGAAACAAGGCCGACCAAAGAAAAGAUUCAAGGAUCAGCUAAAGUCCAACUUGAAGUGGGCUGGCAUUACACCAAAGCAACUAGAACUCGCUGCCUCUGACAGAAGCAGCUGGCGAACCCACAUUAACCAUGUCGCCACCACCUUUGAAGAUGAACAACGUCGACGUCUUGCCGCUGCGCGUGAACACCGACACCAGGCCACAACUGCACCUCCCGUAACAACUGGCGUCCCAUGCCCCAUGUGCCACACACUCUGCGCCUCAGCCUUUGGACUCCAAAGCCACAUGAGGGUACACCGUAGAUGAAACUGCACAAAGACAAUC